AGACCUCUUGACCAAAUGGCAAUGCUUCUAGCACAUAGUCAAGCUAUGGCAGGUUGUCAUGGCAACUGUAGAACAUGGACACAUAUGGGUACCACCAGGUGAGGGCAUAAAAAGAGAAAACCCUGAUGUGAGCAGAGAGCAGUUCACAGAACCUGUUAAGUGGUAAGGCUAUAUAUGUCAGAGCUUCCCAUGAGGGUCAGGCCCAAGGAAGGGAUACCGCAAGUCUCUGUGUAGGAGUAUCCGAGGGAGUGGGAUUGCAAAGAAAAUAAUGAUGAGCAGAAAAAAAAUGAGUCUUGGAGGAUGGGGAGGCUAGAGGUGGUCGGAACGAAUUCCAGAACUUGGCUGGGUGGCUAAAUGCUAUCAUCAGUGUGCUUGCCAUGCAUGUGGGAGGGAGGCGGAGUGAUUUGUUUAAAGGAUUUGGUUCAGGCAGGAUAUGCUGAAGGCAGUAGAUUAUUUUAUGAUGCAGGGCUGUGUUUUGAUUCUAGAGUGUUUGUUUGAUUGGAAACAGACAAGGCUAAUGGUUAUCAAAGUUAAAACCCUCACUGGGAGUUUGGUUUGGUUCACUGAAAAAGUCAGGAGCUAGAACCCAGACACUGUUGAUUUGGAAUGUAUCCACAACGUAGCACGAGGAUAUAUGUAGGACAUGAAGUCUUCCUUCCUCGGCACAUGCAAGGGCACCCAGCUCUUGGACACAGAUAAAAACCUAAAUCAUGCACUACUCAAAGUGACACAGGCUCACUCACUCGGGUGACUCGCUACGUGGUGGGGAGAAAGUAUUAAUGUCACUUCCUCCUCUCCUCUCUCCCUCCAGCUAUUAAAAAGAAUUUCGUUUUGGCUGACUCCAUUUCUCUCCCUUCCUUGCCUUUUAAAGAAAGUCCGGCAUUUGCCAGUCCAAUAGCUAGGACCUUUAUGAUAGAAAUGUGAAAAACUAAAGAGGAAAAGCCAGCUUGGAGAACUACAGGACUCUGAGCUUGUGCUGAUCUUGCAGUCAACCGAAGGCAAAAAGUUCCAAGAAACGCAUCAGUCUGCCCACGCCGCUGUCCUGUCUGCACCUCUCCACUCAAGCCGCUCGAAGCCUUGGGCAGAUUCUGACUGCGGUAGGCAAAGCUGUCUCUGUGUAUUCAGUCCUGUGGGCCUUUGCUUAACAGACGGUUGAAUUUUGGAGCCAUUUCAUUUGUUUUUUUGUGUGUUGGUUUGAGAUGGGGUCUUGCCAUGCAGCCCUGGCUGGCCUAGAGCUCACUGUCUAGACCAGGUUGGGUUUGAACUUGGAGCCAUCCUCUUGCCU
rnacentral:lncRNA from 1 species